rnacentral:rRNA from 1 species
UACGGGGGGAGCAAGCGUUGUUCGGAUUUACUGGGCGUAAAGGGCGCGUAGGCGGUCGUGACAAGUCACUUGUGAAAUCUCCGGGCUUAACUCGGAACGGUCAAGUGAUACUGUCGGACUAGAGUACAGAAGGGGCAACUGGAAUUCUCGGUGUAGCGGUGAAAUGCGUAGAUAUCGAGAGGAACACCUGCGGCGAAGGCGGGUUGCUGGGCUGAUACUGACACUGAGGGACGAAAGCUAGGGGAGCGAAUGGG